rnacentral:rRNA from 1 species
UGCCAGCCGCCGCGGUAAUACGGAGGGGGCUAGCGUUGUUCGGAUUCACUGGGUAUAAAGGGUUCGUAGGCGGGCUAUUAAGUCAGAGGUGAAAGCCACCGGCUCAACCGGUGAAUUGCCUCUGAUACUGGUAGUCUUGAGUCCGUUAGGGGGUGGUGGAAUUCCUGGUGUAGCGGUGAAAUGCGUAAAUAUCAGGAGGAACACCAGUGGCGAAGGCGACCACCUGGCCAAAGACUGACGCUCAUGUGCGAAAGUGUGGGUAGCGAACAGGAUUAGAUU